CUCUUUCCAGGAGCAAAUAUUGGAUCAGGUCCCUUCGCCAGCUGUUUAAUUAAGAGCAAAGUGGGUCGUGAUCUGCAGGUUUGUGAAUGGCUGGAAUCCUGGGAAAGAAGAAAUGCUUCGAGGCUGGUUUGCAUUGCCUGCUCAGCACAGCACAAGGCCUGCUGGUUUGCGGACCCCAGCAUCGAGUCACUACAGAAGCUCAACAGUGAGGGGCGUUUGCCCAGCACCCUAAAAGAUUGAAAUGUCGACUCAGAAAGGUUAAGUCAUUGGUCCAAGAUGACACAGCAAUACAAGAGAGUGCGAUGAAUAAAGGCACACUUCAAGUGCUCCAAGGCCCCACCUGCACUUUGGUGCUUCCAACCUUGCCUGUCUUUACUCCUGUAUCUUCUAGAAUCAAACAGGCACAGAGUUCUGAGGCUCUGUCUCCCCAAUCUCUCUCAGAUCAGUUGCCUCCUUUCGCCCUGCUGCUGCUGCUCUGGUCCACGCCUGCACCAUUCUCACUAGGACCAGCCUCCAAACUGGGGUUUCCACCGCCACAUAUUCCUCCAUCAUGAGUCCUCCACUCAGCUGCAGGAAGGUUGUCCCGCACCACAGACCUGAUGAUAUCGCUUUCCUCUGAAAUGCUCCAUGGUGCCCCAUGUUUUGGCGGUCAGGGUCCUGGCUCCUUAGCCACGGUGCAUGUAGCAGGGUCUUCAGGCCCCAGCACCUCCCUCCCUCUACAGUCUGAGCAUGGGUUGGAACCUCCAAAACCACAAGCCAA